AGGAUUUGUAGUAUCGGGUGAAUGAACUGGUUCUGGAAAAGAGGAGAAUGGAGAGGAAGAUCGAUCAACGGAUUUGAAUGGCAGAGGGAGGGGGAAGUGUGUGAAACGAAAGAGUAGUCGAGUGGAAAUCCUUGCCAUUCACUUGCGGUACGACAUCGAUUUACUUUCACUGAAUCCUUCUUCUUCUUAGUCUUCUUCCACUUAGUUUCCGCCAUUAACGCAUAUUCGUCGUGGGUUUGCAGGUUAAGAGUUGCCCUAUGGAGGCGAUGCGAUGCCAAAUAUAUUGUUUUAAACGGCGUUUAACGGUGACGACGUACCGAAGAGAAAGUGGUGAAGCAAUAGGAGAGAUUUAUUUUUAAUGAAAAAAUGCUUAUCAAAUUUUUUUUCCAAAGUUAGGACGUUCAUCCUUUUAACAUUGAAUUUCCAUUUUUAUUUUAAGCUCUAAUGCUCAUUUCAAUUACCGAAGAGAGCUCAUGCAUCUUAUACCUAUCCUGAAUUUUUUCAAUCGAAC
rnacentral:lncRNA from 1 species